UCUUAUGCAUAAGCAAAGAAAGUGGCUUAUUUGGAAGAAAACUACUCCUGGUGAAGAUGCUGUGAA
rnacentral:pre_miRNA from 1 species